UACGAAGGGGGCUAGCGUUGUUCGGAAUUACUGGGCGUAAAGCGCGUGUAGGCGGCCCUGCAAGUCGGAUGUGAAAUCCCACGGCUCAACCGUGGAAGUGCAUUCGAAACUGCAGGGCUAGAGUCCUGGAGAGGAAGGUGGAAUGCUUGGUGUAGAGGUGAAAUUCGUAGAUAUCAAGCGGAACACCGGUGGCGAAGGCGGCCUUCUGGACAGUGACUGACGCUGAGACGCGAAAGCGUGGGGAGCAAACAGG
rnacentral:rRNA from 1 species